UACGGAGGAUGCAAGCGUUAUCCGGAAUGAUUGGGCGUAAAGCGUCCGCAGGUGGCUAUGUAAGUCUGCUGUUAAAGAGUCUGGCUCAACCAGAUAAAGGCAGUGGAAACUACAUAGCUAGAGUAAGGUAGGGGUAGAGGGAAUUCCUGGUGUAGCGGUGAAAUGCGUAGAGAUCAGGAAGAACACCGGUGGCGAAAGCGCUCUGCUGGACCUUAACUGACACUGAGGGACGAAAGCUAGGGGAGCGAAUGGG
rnacentral:rRNA from 1 species